UCCAGACUCCUACGGGAGGCAGCAGUGAGGAAUAUUGGUCAAUGGCCGAGAGGCUGAACCAGCCAAGUCGCGUGAGGGAAGACGGCCCUACGGGUUGUAAACCUCUUUUGUCGGGGAGCAAAGCGAGUCACGUGUGACUCAUUGAGAGUACCCGAAGAAAAAGCAUCGGCUAACUCCGUGCCAGCAGCCGCGGUAAUACGGAGGAUGCGAGCGUUAUCCGGAUUUAUUGGGUUUAAAGGGUGCGCAGGCGGAAUGUCAAGUCAGCGGUAAAAUUUCGGGGCUCAACCCCGUCGUGCCGUUGAAACUGGCGUUCUUGAGUGAGCGAGAAGUAUGCGGAAUACGUGGUGUAGCGGUGAAAUGCAUAGAUAUCACGCAGAACUCCGAUUGCGAAGGCAGCAUACCGGCGCUCAACUGACGCUCAUGCAUGAAAGCGUGGGUAUCGAACAGGAUUAGAUACCCCUGUACA
rnacentral:rRNA from 1 species